rnacentral:lncRNA from 1 species
CUGAGAGGACGGGUCCAUUCAAUUUGGUUGUGGGGCUUAGAAUUUUAUUUUCGGUUUACAGGGAUAAGCUUUAGCAUUGCUUUUAGGUAGUGUUGGCAGUAUAAGGCAUAGUUAGGUGGGGAAAAAGGAUGGUAAAAAGAGGAGAAAGAGAAGACCUUUUAAAGAUGAAGAAGGAGGUUAGCUGAUGGGAAGAAGAGAAAAGUACAAAUGGCUAGGGAGUGGCCAAGCCCUCCCACACCCACCUCCAUUGUCUCUGGGGAAUAUUGAGAGAGGUGCCUCUUGGAAAGAGGGUAUCAGGAAGAAGGAGACAGGCCCUCAGCACCUGAGGGAACUCUCCCAGCAGUUCUCAGAGCCAUCUUCGUUUCUCCAGGGCAUGUGCAUCCCUCUGGGCCAUCUGUGGACACCUCCAGAAUGGAGUGCGGGGGACACCUACUUACAUUCCAGCUCCUCCUACCUCUCACUGUGGGAUUUCCUUAUGCUCUCUUAGCCUCAGCUUCCUCAGCUGUAAAAACUCUACCUCACAGGGUUCUAGUGAGGAUUAAAUAAGAUAAUCCAUAGAAAAUGCUUAGCGCAGUGUCUUGCAUGCA